AUCCCGCACGCACCAGAAACACGAAAAACCAGCCCACGAUCCCACCCACGCCCCGCCCCCACCUCUCCCCGAGUCCUCGCUCCCGAUCUUGUCUCUCUCCCUGCCAAAUAUUGUCGCCGCCAGAGAGAGGAAGGAGCGUAGCAUAGGCACCGAGGAGGAAGGGGCCGCCUCGCUCGCUUCUGCUGACGCCGCUACCCCAAUCGCCGUCGCCGCCGUGGCGGACGCAGCGAGCCCCAAGCUGCGGGACACCGGGACGCUGGGACAGGAAGAACAGGGCCGCAUGAGCCGGAGAGGGCUCCGAGGAGAGCGUCCGCCCCAAAUCCAACCCCCGCCCCCAGGUGAUUCCGGUUCCGCCGCCCCGUAAUCCGCUCGAGCCGCGCCUAACUCCAUGGUUUAUUGCAGGUGGAGUGCGUGCCGGAGAAGCCCGACCUCGGCGCGGACGACCCCCUUCUCCUCGGCCACCCCUGUAGCCAGGCGAGCUCCGGUUUCGCCGCCCCGUAGAGAAGGAAUAAAGCCACGUGGGAAAGGCUACAUGGGUAAAGUUAGUAAUGUCUCGUCAUCCUUUAGGUCGCCCUCACUGCUUCUACCGGUGACCUUUGGAGGACGGGGGACGUGGUUAUCGUUGGUGGGAGGGAGCAGAGAGGCGACAGGGUUGAACAUGUAGAGGGUGUGCCAGCAGGUCCUUGGGCGUGAAUGCAGCGUCGUCAGACUUUACCAAGCUCAGCACAUGUGCCAUGAAGAAGUUCUUGUUUUCUUCUAAUCCAUUCAUAGCGGCCCCUCUCCUCUGUUAGUCUCUGUGUUAGUCUACUGGAGUGGCAGUGGAGACUCAAUGGCUGUAGUGCACUGGCGGUGAAGACUCAAUGACUGUAGUGCACUGGCGGUGGAGACUCAAUGGCUGUAGUGCACCUAUAUUUUGGGGUGGACGUACAUGUAGCCGACCCAUGUGAUGUAGCCAUGGAGGAACCGGACGCCGGGUGGGGGUACGGGCGGCCUGGGCACAGUCACGGUUACACACUCAUAGCAGGCUUAGAAGGACUUAGCCCCUUGAAAGGCGACAUUUUUAUCAUUGUUGGGGGCCGGGGCCUAGCUUUGCACUGUCAAUGUUACCGAGGUAUCAAUGACAUCUCCCAUGCCAACACUUUGAUCCCUUAAUUGUAUAAAAUGGAACUGUAUGCAUAGGGGGGGGGGAUAAUGAAGGUUUUGUUUCACAAGAUUUUAGGAGUAUAUUGUCAAGAAAAGUAACAGAACUGAGGUGCUAAGGAAUUUUGCAACAAUCCUGAAUUGUACUCUUUGGCUUAUGGCAAUCAUGAAUUGUACUCUCUUCAUUUGUGCUUCAACUUUGAGAAACAGAAUAAGCAGGUCAUAUUUCUUUAAACUUUAUAUUAUCUAAUAUGUAUUUAGAAAUUGGAAUACAAAGCCCUUAAUAUUACAACAGGAGCAUACUUGAGGGAAGAACUUACAUUGAAUAUAAUAAUGGAAUACCAAUGCAGCGACUCUCCUUCCCUCCCUGUGCUUUAGUUAUUCUAAGUUAGUUUCACUAAACUGAAACUGCAGUCAUAGAUCAUUACAGGUUUUGUCUGAACUUUGCAUCUAACUGUUACAUAUUUAAAUAUUAAUUAAGAAUGUGAGAGAUUACAGCUGCAGGACUGAUGUUAUUCGCUCUCAUUUGCAACUUUACGAAUCCACUUAGGAGAUGAUGUUAAUAUAUGCUUUGUCAGCAGAAGUCCUAGGUACCGAAGUUGGAUUGCUUACAAAAAAUCUAUACAGUUGGAUAGCUAAAAUCCGACGUGUGCUGUAUGAUUCUAGGAAGGCAACACAACUUUCUCUUGUUGUCAACGAAGAACAUUUUUCAGAUUUAUAUUAUUUUUCUUUGGAUAGGUGAAGUGUUUUAGUUUUACAAUGUAUUUGAUGCAAACAUUUUUUUUGGCAAGAAGUAUUUGAUGUACAAAAUCUCGAGUUCAGUCAAAGGAAAGAUGUGCCUGAGGUACUUUGUUUAUCCCCUUUCAAAUAUGAUUACAUGAUACUUUAUAAUCCUUGUUCAAUUAAUGGUGUAUUUUUAUGCGUGGUACUAUGAGAAAUAGUGGAUUUUGUGUAUUGGGAGUAUCAUGGUUAUAACAUUUCUUUUUAUAUGAUACAACGGGUCAUUUUAUGAGAAACACACAAUAAGAUUAAUGUAAAACGAGGGAAAAAUAAAAAAUUCUUAGAUAGACAGACAUCGCAUACACAUUACCCUUGAUACGGACAUUUGUAAAAAAGAAAAUGUAGAUAAUCAAUCUCUCUAUAUAGCUUUUAUUUAUUAUUCCGUGGCAACGCACGGGCACUCAGCUAGUUGUAUGUAAUGUAUGUAUGUAUGUGUGAGCCUUCCUCCUCAGAGAUGUUUUUUGAUUGAUGAUGCAUAUGCUGCAGGUCUCGUCUUUUUUUCUGCUUUGGCUUGUUUGAUUCAUGCAAUUUGAGAACGUAUUUAAGUUGCUAAGAUAUGAUCUAAAAGAGCAGGAUGGGACUAUUGAUUAAAAAAGGAGUACAAAAUUU